GACGAACGCUGGCGGCGUGCUUAACACAUGCAAGUCGAACGGAAAGGCCCUGCUUUUGUGGGGUGCUCGAGUGGCGAACGGGUGAGUAACACGUGAGUAACCUGCCCUUGACUUUGGGAUAACUUCAGGAAACUGGGGCUAAUACCGGAUAGGAGCUCCUGCUGCAUGGUGGGGGUUGGAAAGUUUCGGCGGUUGGGGAUGGACUCGCGGCUUAUCAGCUUGUUGGUGGGGUAGUGGCUUACCAAGGCUUUGACGGGUAGCCGGCCUGAGAGGGUGACCGGCCACAUUGGGACUGAGAUACGGCCCAGACUCCUACGGGAGGCAGCAGUGGGGAAUAUUGCACAAUGGGCGGAAGCCUGAUGCAGCAACGCCGCGUGCGGGAUGACGGCCUUCGGGUUGUAAGCCGCUUUCGCCUGUGACGAAGCGUGAGUGACGGUAAUGGGUAAAGAAGCACCGGCUAACUACGUGCCAGCAGCCGCGGUGAUACGUAGGGUGCGAGCGUUGUCCGGAUUUAUUGGGCGUAAAGGGCUCGUAGGUGGUUGAUCGCGUCGGAAGUGUAAUCUUGGGGCUUAACCCUGAGCGUGCUUUCGAUACGGGUUGACUUGAGGAAGGUAGGGGAGAAUGGAAUUCCUGGUGGAGCGGUGGAAUGCGCAGAUAUCAGGAGGAACACCAGUGGCGAAGGCGGUUCUCUGGGCCUUUCCUGACGCUGAGGAGCGAAAGCGUGGGGAGCGAACAGGCUUAGAUACCCUGGUAGUCCACGCUGUAAACGGUGGGUACUAGGUGUGGGGUCCAUUCCACGGGUUCCGUGCCGUAGCUAACGCUUUAAGUACCCCGCCUGGGGAGUACGGCCGCAAGGCUAAAACUCAAAGGAAUUGACGGGGCCCCGCACAAGCGGCGGAGCAUGCGGAUUAAUUCGAUGCAACGCGUAGAACCUUACCUGGGUUUGACAUGGAUCGGGAGUGCUCAGAGAUGGGUGUGCCUCUUUUGGGGUCGGUUCACAGGUGGUGCAUGGCUGUCGUCAGCUCGUGUCGUGAGAUGUUGGGUUAAGUCCCGCAACGAGCGCAACCCUUGUUCACUGUUGCCAGCACGUUAUGGUGGGGACUCAGUGGAGACCGCCGGGGUCAACUCGGAGGAAGGUGGGGAUGACGUCAAGUCAUCAUGCCCCUUAUGUCCAGGGCUUCACGCAUGCUACAAUGGCUGGUACAGAGAGUGGCGAGCCUGUGAGGGUGAGCGAAUCUCGGAAAGCCGGUCUCAGUUCGGAUUGGGGUCUGCAACUCGACCUCAUGAAGUCGGAGUCGCUAGUAAUCGCAGAUCAGCAACGCUGCGGUGAAUAAAUUCCCGGG
rnacentral:rRNA from 1 species